rnacentral:ncRNA from 1 species
CCAAAGGCUCUUUUCAGAGCCAUUACCCAUACCACUAUAAAUCACU